rnacentral:tRNA from 1 species
AAGUCCAGGGUCUAUAAUAACCGUAUUCGGAUUUGCACUCCGGGUACUGGGCU